CCUACGGGUGGCAGCAGUGGGGAAUAUUGCACAAUGGGCGCAAGCCUGAUGCCGCCAUGCCGCGUGUGUGAAGAAGGCCUUCGGGUUGUAAAGCACUUUCAGCGGGGAGGAAGGCGUUAAGGUGAAUAACCUUGGCGAUUGACGUUACCCGCAGAAGAAGCACCGGCUAACUCCGUGCCAGCAGCCGCGGUAAUACGGAGGGUGCAAGCGUUAAUCGGAAUUACUGGGCGUAAAGCGCACGCAGGCGGUCUGUCAAGUCGGAUGUGAAAUCCCCGGGCUCAACCUGGGAACUGCAUUCGAAACUGGCAGGCUAGAGUCUUGUAGAGGGGGGUAGAAUUCCAGGUGUAGCGGUGAAAUGCGUAGAGAUCUGGAGGAAUACCGGUGGCGAAGGCGGCCCCCUGGACAAAGACUGACGCUCAGGUGCGAAAGCGUGGGGAGCAAACAGGAUUAGAUACCCUAGUAGUC
rnacentral:rRNA from 1 species